GACGAACGCUGGCGGCGUGCUUAACACAUGCAAGUCGAACGGAAAGGCCCUGCUUGCAGGGUACUCGAGUGGCGAACGGGUGAGUAACACGUGGGUGAUCUGCCCUGCACUUCGGGAUAAGCCUGGGAAACUGGGUCUAAUACCGGAUAGGAGCCAUUUUUAGUGUGAUGGUUGGAAAGUUUUUUCGGUGUAGGAUGAGCUCGCGGCCUAUCAGCUUGUUGGUGGGGUAAUGGCCUACCAAGGCGGCGACGGGUAGCCGGCCUGAGAGGGUGGACGGCCACAUUGGGACUGAGAUACGGCCCAGACUCCUACGGGAGGAAGCAGGGGGGAAUAUUGCACAAUGGGCGCAAGCCUGAUGCAGCGACGCCGCGUAGGGGAUGACGGCCUUCGGGUUGUAAACUCCUUUCGCUAGGGACGAAGCUUUUUGUGACGGUACCUAGAUAAGAAGCACCGGCUAACUACGUG
rnacentral:rRNA from 1 species